GGUGCUGGUUUCAUCAAGUUUAGAUGAAAAAAAAAAAGAAAGAAAAAGAAAAGAAAAGAAAUAAAACAUCAAGGAGGCAAACAGGAACUCAGUGUUCUGAGGUCUGGAUGAAUAAUACCCACAGGAGAAUGGUAAUUAACACCCAUGGGCAGAGACCCAGGAAUGACAGAAGAUACAGCAGAGGAAGAAGGCAGUGCUUAGAGGUUGUGAGGAGCGGGUGUGGCGGCAAUCCCAAGAAGGUGCCAGGGACUGCAGCUAAGUCGUAUGACUUGCACCUGACUUCCUCAUAUAAGCCACAAACAUCUUGAGAGCUGCGCAGGUGUACCAGGAUACUGGUGAAUCCAUUUUGAUGGAGAUAUGCCCCUGCUGCCCUGAUUAGCUGAAGCUGCGUGCCUGGUGAAGUGGCGUGGCCUGCUGUGCGUGGAUGGGAACUGAGAGUAUAAAAGAGUGAGAGGCCCAGGGUUUGGGGGAGAUAUAAACAAGGGAGAUAUAAACAAGAAGAAACAGGACUGAGUAAACGUGUGCAGAAGGAUCCUGUUGCAGCGUCGUUCUUCCUGGCCAGUUGGGCGCGUGCAAGAAGAGC
rnacentral:lncRNA from 1 species